CUUCGGGCCCUGAGAAACAUCAUCCGGUAAUAGCCCUACAUGCUGUUUGUGGCUAGAUCUCAUUAUGCUCAUGAGAGAGUCGCCGUAAACCGGCUCUCCUAGUUGUGUCUAGCCUUAGCUAUUAUUUUCUUCUUAUCCCUCUUGGGGUGCCCUGCCCCUUCUUAUAUAUGUUGAAGGGGCGGUUUAUAUGACUAGUCCUAGUAGGAUUAGGAUUAAUCUAUUACAAGUGGAGUCCUAGUCUUGCUUUCUUUAUAGGAGAAUAUUCCUUAUGCCUUUCCUCUUAAGCCGGCCCACCAUCAUACGAACCGGCCUACUGGGUCUUGGGCCUUGUCGUCCGUCUGACCCGCUCGCCGGGUUACCAAUGAGCCGCCAAGAUCAGGCGGGUUACUAGUGAGUCGCCAAGAUCGGACGGGUUACCAAUGAGUCGCCAAGAUCCAGCCGAGUCAUACAUCCGGCCGGUUACACCGCGGGGUAUAUCCCCGACAAAGGUUAUGAGUAUAAUCGGAACAAAAAUUUAUAGGGAUGACAUGGUCAAGCAUGCAUGUGAGCAGCUGCAAACUACACGUCUACCUACAAUUAGUUAUAAUGUGGCUUAAAUCAAGAAUAAGUGAUCAUUACAUGUAUCAAGUACAAGUGUUAUCCAAAUUAACUCUCAUUAGUACUAUUGAUGAUCUUAUACAUGUAUUUGCACAAUACAUGGUUAAGAAGGAAUAAAAAUAUUUGCUUGAAUGAUUGUUAAUA